UGUGGCGGUGGUUUCUUCGUUUACAUGUGCAAUGGCGAUGUGUGAACGUCAGUGUCAGAACUCUCUCUUUAUGAUUAAAAAGGUUUGUUUUGUUCCUGCCCUUUUCAGACACUGAAUUUGAGCAGAAACCAUAAGGAUACUCAAAGGACCUGUGACUCUCAGGAAAUGCAUCAAAUGAGAGGGACAGAUGAAACAGUUUCAAGACAAUGGCAGGAAAAACAUGCUGAAGAUUGAAACAAACCUUGGCUGGAAAUAUUUGAAGGUAUCUAGCCAGUCCACAAUGAAAGCUUCGUUGCACCCA